rnacentral:rRNA from 1 species
CCUACGGGUGGCAGCAGUGAGGAAUAUUGGUCAAUGGGCGCGAGCCUGAACCAGCCAAGUAGCGUGAAGGAUGACUGCCCUACGGGUUGUAAACUUCUUUUAUAAAGAAAUAAAGUGAGGCACGUGUGCCUUUUUGUAUUAACUUUUUAAAUAGGGAUCGCCUAACUCCGGCCAGGCACCCGCGUUAAUACGGAGGAUCCGCGCGUUAGCCGGAUUUAUUGGGUUUAAAGGGAGCGUAGAUGGGUUGUUAAGUCAGUUGUGAAAGUUUGCGGCUCAACCGUAAAAUUGCAAUUGUUACUGGCAGUCUUGAGUACAGUUGAGGUAGGCGGAAUUCGUGGGGUAGCGGUGAAAUGCUUAGAUAUCACGAAGAACUCCGAUUGCGAAGGCAGCUUACUAAACUGCCACUGACAUUGAUGCUCGAAAGUGUGGGUAUCAAACAGGAUUAGAUACCCUUGUAGUC